UACGUAGGGUGCGAGCGUUGUCCGGAAUUAUUGGGCGUAAAGAGCUUGUAGGCGGUUUGUCGCGUCGGGAGUGAAAUCCACUGGCUUAACUGGUGGCUUGCUUUCGAUACGGGCAGACUGGAGGUAUGCAGGGGAGAACGGAAUUCCUGGUGUAGCGGUGAAAUGCGCAGAUAUCAGGAGGAACACCAAUGGCGAAGGCAGAUCUCUGGGCCGUAACUGACGCUGAGGAGCGAAAGCAUGGGGAGCGAACAGG
rnacentral:rRNA from 1 species